rfam:Triticum aestivum genome assembly, contig: Triticum_aestivum_CS42_TGACv1_scaffold_253543_3DL
UUAAUACUUUCUCCGUCCCAAAAUUCUUGUCUUAAAUUUGUCUAAAUACGGAUGUAUCAAGUCACGUUUUAAAAUUAGAUACAUUCGUAUCUAGACUAAUCUAAGACAAGAAUUUUGGGACGGAGGAUGUCUUAG